AGAGAGAGACAUGCGCGCAUAUCAAUAAGCGGAGGAAAAGAAACUAACUAAGGAUUCCCUCAGUAACGGCGAGUGAAGCGGGAAGAGCUCAAAUUUGAAAUCUUCAAGGUUUUACCUUGACGAAUUGUAGUUUAAAGAAGUGUUUUCUGCUGAAGUUUUGGUAAAAGUUCUUUGGAAUAGGACAUCAUAGAGGGUGAGAAUCCCGUAUUUGACCAUUAUUUUCAGCUUUGUGAUACACUUUCAAAGAGUCGGAUUGUUUGGGAAUGCAGUCCAAAAUGGGUGGUAAAUUUCAUCUAAAGCUAAAUAUUGGCGAGAGACCGAUAGCGAACAAGUACCGUGAGGGAAAGAUGAAAAGAACUUUGAAAAGAGAGUUAAACAGUACGUGAAAUUGUCAAAAGGGAAGCGUUUGACACCAGUGUUGUUUUCUCGAAAAUCAAUUAAAAAUGGCUCGAUUUUGUAUUGCUUGAGACCUUAAAAGCUCACUGUACAUUUUUCGUGUCUUUUUUAAUGCACUUUUCGUUUAACAAGUCAACAUCAGUUUCUUUUGUUGUAAAAGGGUCAUUGGAAGGUGGCUUUCUUUUCGGAGAAAGUGUUUAUAGCCUUUGGCCUCUGCAAUCGAAGAGACUGAGGUCUGCAGCGUAGACUCUUCGGGGUUAGAUACAUUUGUGCUAAGUUAUAGCUUUUUAUAGACAACUUGUUGACUAUAAUUAGUCUUGUAGCUUACUCGCUUAUGCUAUUUUACCUACGCUUAGGAUGUUGAAGAUGUAGCACAUCAU
rnacentral:rRNA from 1 species